rnacentral:piRNA from 1 species
UGCUAGCUCUGGGUGUAGAUGCCUGUCUGU